CUUUUCAAACAGUGACUAAUUAGCUGAUUAAUUAAGUAUUUCUAAGGGGGCGUUUGGUUGGGGGUAUUCUGGAAAGGGAAAGGGGAUGGGCUGAAAUGAUACCCUUUGUUGUUGUUUGUUAGACCAUUUUCGUGAUUCCCUUUACCCCUUUUUAUUUUUGGGUUCACCCAAAAUUGCUCUAAGUUGAUUACACCCCCCCCCAAGGGUUUCCCAUUCUGAUUCCCCACUUCAUUUCCCCACCCUCCUUCUCUCUCCUCUAGCCCAGAACUUUAACAACAGCACCAAGGGAAGAUGCCACACUCACGUUGCCGGCGACUACUGCUGUGAAAAUCCGUCCAUUAACUCCGAUCACUUGCUUAUCUCCGGCCGCCGUCGAGCCUAUAAAUUCACUAUACUACGAGGUUUCUCUAAUACGGAGGGAUUUUAGCAUAGCAGAACAAUUUCAAAGCAGAAGUACAACAGACCUUUGAAGCAGCAACAAUGGCGAGCACAAAAGUUCAAAGGAUUAUGGCCCAGCCUAAAUUCACUGUCUUUUCACUUCCAUUCUCAAUUUUUGUGUUUUUAUUCUUCUUCUUCUUCAAUUUAUAAUCUAACUCAUCUAUGUUGUUAAUUGGGUUUGAUAAUAGAUCCUAUAAUACCGCAGAUAAAUUGAAUAAAGGAAAGCCAUAUAUUGUAAAGUUAAUUGUGUUCUUAAUUGCUUUGUUAAAUGCUACGAAUGUCUUAUAUGUCUGUUCAAUGAAAAAAUUCACAAUAAAAGUCUAUUAUGGUGAUUAGCUGUCAUAUAUUCUUCUUCUUCUUUUUUUAAAAAAAAUUAAGAAGAAUUGAGGAAGAAAAUUUAAUCAUAUUACUUGUAUGUUUUAAACAGGUUCUUCAUAAAGACAUGUUUAUUAAUAAAUUAUACAUUUGAUUCCUUGGUUUGAACCAAACAGCCACAAAGGGAAUCAGGGUGUAUUUCAUUCCGUUUCUGGGACAUACCCAAACAGGAGGAUAGGAGCAGCGAUAAAAGGGGAGAGGGCAGUGGCAGAGGAGGAGGGAGGUUGCAGUAGAAGGUGGUCAGCGAACGAGAAUAAACCAUUGAUGGUCGGUGAAGGUGGGUUGUUGACGGCACGAUAAGGUAAGGGAAGUAGUGAGGUGUUGUUCCCAAACUUCUCAGGCAGUGCUCUUAACUUCCCUGAAAUCUUGAAGAAGAACGAUAACCUCCGCUUAAGAUCAAUAGGUUACCGAAAUCCGACCUGAAAAUGGCGGGAACCGAAUCAACAAAUAGUUAUAUGCCUCCCAAGGCGGCGUUGAUGAAGAAACGCGGCAAACUCGCCGGUAAUGCCCUAGGAAACCAAUUCUUUGCCUCCCAAGGCGGCAUUGGUAGUCUCUUCAACCUUCCUAACGAAGCCGGCCGGAAGUACGAGUUUAUUUGCAGCACCACUCCCUCAUACCACCACUACUUUAGGAAUCGACGAAGGAGUGUGAAAGUUGUCGGAGCCGGCGAACAGGGAAGGGGAAUUCGAUGUAGAGGUAGAGAGAGGAGGCGGAGAAGCCACCGAGCGAGGCAUGGAGUUGAGCAGAGCAGAGGAGUUGAAGACAAAGUUGACUUUUGUCGGAACUGGCUUUCGGCAACUAUUUCGGUGAUGGAUUUGCAAGGAAUGCGACCGGAGAGGAACCAGUCCGGGACUGGACAAGAGAGAGUUAGCUUUUGGGUGAAAUAGAUGUUGGUAGAGUAAAAGCUUUUUUUUACUAUGUCUAUAAUUAAAGUUGGGCAUUACCUAAUACUCGUACAUUUUAUAUAUAUUAUAUAAACUCGGAAACUACUAUCAUUGUUGUUCAUAAACGACUUGAAAUAAAAUUGCCAUGGUUUUUAUUUCACUCCUAUAUCAUAAGUGAUUUUUCAAAUAUACUUUCAAAAGUUAAAGUCGCGGAUUAAUUCCACCGCCUUAAUCUUUUCUAAUUGCAAUUACCUAGUAAAAUGAAUAACGAAAGAAAAAUUUACCCUACAAUAAUAACGAGAAAUAAUAAGAUAUUUAGAGAAGUGAGAUAACAAAAAUAAAAUUAAAACCUAAUUUAAAUUUAAAUGAUUAAUGUAAAAACAAAAAAUGUAAAAAUUGAUGUUGGUAUGUUUUAAAAGUUUUUUUGGCAAUGUCCAAAACUAAAGUAGGACAUUGUCUAAACUCGAACAAUAUUUUCAUAAUUGUUCAUAAACUCGAACAGUAUUUCCAUGGUUGUUAUCUCACUCAUAUAUGAUUUUUCAAAUAUACGUUCAAAACUUAAAGUUGCAGAUUGAUUCCAAGACCUUUAAUCGCUUUUUCUAAUUAAAAUAACCUAGUAUAAUAAAUAAUUAUUUUACCCAAUAUACGAGAAAUAAUGAGAUAUCUAGAGAAGUGAGAUAACAAAAAUAAAAUUAAAACCUAAUCCUACACCCUUUUAAAAGCAAGGACUGAUAUUUUACUAUUCAUUCAAUAGUUAAAAUACGAAUUUACCCUUAUUUUUCUUCACAUUUUUGUUACUACCCUUUUGCCCUAAUAUUUGAGACUACGCACCGUGCUUUCAUCCUUUGCCUUUUCUUUCUCUGAGCUCAAGCCCCCAUCCAUUCUAAUCUCUCCCUUCUGAAAUCUCUUUCGCCCCCUUCUUCUCCCUCCUGUAUCAUCGACACUUUCUCUCUCCUCAUAUCACAGCUUGCAAUUUGUGCAAGCUUGACAAGGUUUCUCUCUUCACUAUCAGUUUCUCCUGCUUCUCCCUGGUAUGAAUCUUUUCUCUGAUUUUUUGAAUUAGGGUUUUGUUCUCGCGUUUAAUGGUUGAAUUUUGUGCAUUAUGGCUGAUUUUAAUUGAAUUGGCAAACUAAUUUGGUGUUUUCAUUGUAUGAAUUUGUUUAAUUUAUGAUGGGAUCAUAUCAUUUUAAUUGAUUUUGUAUGUUUUUAGGUGGAUUUUGAUUAGAUUUUGAGAGUUAAUUUUGAAAAAAAAUUUGAAUUUCGGUUAUGUUAUUAUUUUACUAAUCUCAUAGUCGGAUUCCCUUAGCAUUUGCUAUCAUUUUUCUCCCAGGAAUGUGGUAUGGGAUGGAGUUGUGGGUGGAUCGAGAUUUCUUCCAAUGGUACACAACAAGUACACUGCAUUGAUUGCUUUGCCCUUCUUGGCGCUAAUGCAUCAGGGUUUCCCCUUCAAGACUUCAUGGGUGAUGAGUUUAUCAAUUACCCCUUCAAGAAUUCAUGGGUGAUGUAAACUCGAGAUCUUGCUCAUUUAUCAAGGUCUUUGGGUAGUUUAUGUAAAUAACUUUUUGGGAAUAAAACAAUCUCUUCGUGGUGGUUACAUAGUUAUGCAUUGUUUGGAAAAAGAGUAGAGUCAACUGGAAGAAUUCAUGAAGCUGCUGAAGAUUUGUAAGAGUUACGAAUGUUAGAACUAAGAACUGCGACCGAUGACUUAUGUCCAGCCAACAACGUGGACAAGGUGGUUUUGGGUAUGUGUAUAAGGGAAAGCUUAAACAUGGAAAAUAUAGCUGCCAUCUAAGUUAUGUCUAUUGAAUUGCAACAAGGAGUACGUGACUCUUUAACUGAGAUAAAGGUGAUCUCAGAAAUCCAGCAUGAAAACUUGGGGGAACUGUGACCUUGAUUUUACAUGGCGAACAAGUUGGAAAAUCUGCAUAUGAGUAGCUCGUGGGCUUGUUUUCAUUCAUGAUUAAGUUUUUCCACAAUAGUGCAUAGUGAAAUCAAGGCAUGUAACAUCCUGCUCGACAAAGGCCUCAGUCCCAAAAUAUCAUAUUUUUGUCUAGCCAGACGUAUGCCGUCCAAUGCCCACUCAUGUCAAUACACGGGUCAUUGGCACAUUGUUAUCUUGCUCAUGAGUAUGCAAUAAGGGGACAACUAAUUCGAAAAGCAGGUAUAUAUAGUUUUGGUGCUCUCCUGGUGGGAAUGGUCAGUGGGCGAUGUAACACGAAUAUGAAAUUGUCAAAUGGAGAUAAAUAUCUCUUGGAGCGGGUAUGA